UGGCUCUCGCAUCGAUGAAGAACGCAGCGAAAUGUGAUAAGUAAUGUGAAUUGCAGAAUUCAGUGAAUCAUCGAAUCUUUGAACGCACCUUGCGCUCUCUGGUAUUCCGGAGAGCAUGCCUGUUUGAGUGUCAUGAACUCUUCAACCCACCGGUUCCUUGUUGGAUCGAGUUGGUGUUUGGAUCUUGAAUGUUGCUGGCUUAUUCCUUGACUUCGGUUAGGGACAAAGCGUAGCUCGUUCGUAAUACAUUAGCAUCUCAAUUUCGAAACUCGGAUUGACUCAGCGUGAUAGACUAUUCGCUGAGGACACUUGCAAAAGUGGCCGAAUUAGAUAACUAGAAGCUUCUAAUCCCCUACUAGUCAAAACUAUAAGAUUAGACCUCAGAUCAGGCAGGAUUACCCGCUGA
rnacentral:misc_RNA from 1 species